CCUACGGGUGGCAGCAGUGGGGAAUAUUGCACAAUGGGGGAAACCCUGAUGCAGCGACGCCGCGUGAGUGAAGAAGUAUUUCGGUACGUAAAGCUCUAUCAGCAGGGAAGAAAAUGACGGUACCUGACUAAGAAGCCCCGGCUAACUACGUGACAGCAGCCGCCGUUAUACGUAAGGGGCAAGCGUUAUCCGGAUUUACUGGGUGUAAAGGGAGCGUAGACGGCAGCGCAAGUCUGAAGUGAAAUCCCAUGGGUUAAACAUGGAACUGCUGUGGAAACUGUGCAGCGGGAGGGCAGGAGAGGUAAGCGGAAGUCCUAGUGUAGCGGUGAAAUGCGUAGAUAUUAGGAGGAACACCAGUGGCGAAGGCGGCAUACUGGCGUGGAACUGACGUUGAGGCUCGAAAGCGUGGGGAGCAAACAGGAUUAGAUACCCGUGUAGUC
rnacentral:rRNA from 1 species